ensembl:lncRNA
CAUUUGGUGCCGUGACACCGUCUUGAAGAGAGAGGAUGAGAAGACGAUUGCCUCUGAAGAUUGCCCUGUGACCGAGAAGAGCGCGCGCCCUGCCUGGGAAGACGUCUGAUCAACGCCUGCCCUGCCGAGGGACCCGCAUCCACAACGCGGCUGAACCAGCGCAUCUCCAUGCACCACUUGGGAAUCAACGGUGACUGAAUCUCAUUCCACACUCUCGACCAAGGGAAAAGAACAAGAAAGUAAUCUUAAAAUAAUCUACACACACAUAACUGUGAUUAUUAUUAUUUGUUUUACUAUUAGGCUGCACUACAUUUGCUGAGUAAUGAAGUUGUGUCAUUAAGAGCUUGACGAAGUGAGGACUUGUAUUAGUGAUUAAGAGAAUUUGUUUGUUGCUCAAUAAUCACUGAAUAUACGCCAUAUGAAACUAUUGAAUUGUUUGUUGAAUAAGGCCUUUGGUCUGGGAUUGAGUCCUAGAAUAUUAAUAUUGUUUGUUGAAUAAGGCCUUUGAGCUGGGAUUGAGUCCUAGAAUAUUGUAAUAGCAU